CCCCUAGUAGCUCAAAGGACAGAGCAAUGGAUUUCUACCCCAUAGGUUGCAGGUUCGAGUCCUGCCUAGGGGA
rfam:Corynebacterium phage P1201, complete genome.